rnacentral:misc_RNA from 1 species
GCAAACUUGGUCAUUUAGAGGAAGUAAAAGUCGUAACAAGGUUUCCGUAGGUGAACCUGCGGAAGGAUCAUUACAGUGCUCGUCGGGUCGCCGCGCCUCCGGGCGUCGGCGCCUCGCACCUGCCCCACCCGUGUUUACCUUUCCCUCUGUUGCUUCGGCGGGCCCGUCCCGGGGCGUACCCACGUGUCGGGUAUGUCCAGGGGCGGACCGGGGGUUUCGCCGCGUACCCACGCGGCCCCCUGGCCAGCGCCCGUCGGAGGACCUUUGAACCCUCUGUGAAUAUACGGUAACAACGUCUGAGUUUGAUCAUGAAAUAUAGUUAAAACUUUCAACAACGGAUCUCUUGGUUCUGGCAUCGAUGAAGAACGCAGC